rnacentral:rRNA from 1 species
GCGUAUAUUAAAGUUGUUGCAGUUAAAAAGCUCGUAGUUGAAUUUCGGGGUCAGCAGGUUGGUCGUGCCACUGGUAUGCACUGGCUUCGCUGAUUCCUCCUUUCUGAAGAACUGUAAUGUCAUUAAUUUGGUGUUGCAGGGAAACAGGACUGUUACUUUGAAAAAAUUAGAGUGUUUAAAGCAGGCUAACGCUUGAAUACAUUAGCAUGGAAUAAUGAAAUAGGACGUUCGAUCCUAUUUUGUUGGUUUCUAGGAUUGACGUAAUGAUUAAUAGGGAUAGUUGGGGGCAUUAGUAUUCAAUUGUCAGAGGUGAAAUUCUUGGAUUUAUUGAAGACUAACUACUGCGAAAGCAUUUGCCAAGGAUGUUUUCAUUAAUCAAGAACGAAAGUUAGGGGAUCGAAGACGAUCAGAUACCGUCGUAGUCUUAACCAUAAA